AAACAAAACAUGAUCGAAGCGGCCAGAUGUGCGAACGUCGUUUUAGUGUUGCAUUACAACUAAGCGCCUUAGAAAAACGUCUUGGAAAGUAAAGUUAUACGUAAAACAAUUCAUUGUAUAAAAAUGUCUCACUUUCGCUAUAAAAAAAUUGAGGGAAUAAGCUUAAACGCCGGUUGAUGAUCGGGAUUGGAUAAUGGCACAGCUGUGUACCAAAAAAGAUCUGUUAGCAGGUAAAUAUAGAUUUCCAACCAAAAUGGUUUCAACUUGGCCCAAUGCAGGAGCCUCAAAGGUAUUUGAUUAGUCUACAAAGAAAAUGAAUUAAUGUCUGCUUCUUAAAUCUUUUGGAAGUUGUAAACAGUGGAAUUCUGCUCAUCGUUUGACUUAAAUUCAAGUCUACUAAGGUGUCAUAACUGAAAUGGUAACUUUAGAACUUUUAAAACACUGCAUAACUUUUAUUAACAAUAGUUUAGUUUUACAACUAUCAAAAUCUUGUUGACUAUUGAAAGGGGAACAAAGCUUAUUUUGUAGAUUUCCAGAAUUUCUAUUACCUGUCUUACUUCCGGUUUUAAAUUGUCAAGUAACUCUUUAUUUAUUGGUCCAUCAGAAAAAAGAUUCACAUUUUCGUGAUCCUUGUCAAAUUUUGGGUUGACGAAAACCGUCAAAAAUCGCGAAUUUUCCUGAACUAUAAUAGUUCAUGAAAAAUAAUGCUUUAACUAUUAAUUAAAAAUUAUUAAUAAUAAUCAUUACAUUAAUAUAAUAUAAUACAAUUAUUUAACCUUUGGCAUGGUGUCGCCACUCGCCAGGUCACUGGUCAGUGAUCAGUCUGGGGACGAGUAAAGUUCAAUUUGGCUAAGACCCAACUACGAAACCCAAGGAACGAGAAAUAUUUAACAAACUUACAAAAAGGCUGAUUUCUUUUUUAAUUUGAUAAUUUCACAUCUUGUAAACUAUUGAAACCUCACAGCCUUAUGGUAUUAUUCUAUCAUCUGUCUACUCCAAUAUUCACGAUGGAUAUUUAAAAAUUGUGUUUUGUAUGUAUAUUGGAGUAAGCCAUUUGCAGCAUAAAACCUAAAGUCUUAUUCCCUGUAAGGACAAAGAAAGUAGUUAACAAGUUGAGAAAUUUAAAAAUAUUGAUUCUUGUUUAUAAGUCUCCAAUUAUUAUCUAGACCUAAGGUAGUGUAUUGAAUCAGCCUCCAAAUAGAUGUCUAACUCUGUUAAUCUAAAGGUAACUGGAAAUAUUGCAUACUUAUCAUGUCAUUCUUUUAAAAACUGUAUUACUUCAAUUUCGGGGGUUUCAACUUGCUGCUGGAUAGAAGCUUGAAAGACGGUGGAAUGCUGACCUGUUAUCUGCAGUUAAUAAUCCAUCUGCUGCAUCUUAAAAUUGGUUAAGAUCAUGUAAAUGAAAAAAAAGCUAUAUCAAAAAUUUUAAAAAGAAAAUAUGCUAGGAACUCUUGAAAAAGUAUUCUUGGUGAAAAAGUGGAAAUUCUUGGAGAUAGCAACACUUAUCUGUGGAUAAAUUAGGCAAUACAGUUAAUGAGAAUUUAUCUAAGAAGAAACAAACAAUCAAGGAGGCAAGUUGAAUGAUGCUGGCAAUUCUUUCUAUAACGACAACUUACUGCCUCGUAUGGAGAUGAGUGAAAAAUAUCUGUUACGAAAAUAACGAACGCGUUACGACCUAAAAUGCUUUUCUUCUUAACAUUUGGUUAACCUGAACGUAAAUUCAAAUUUUGGCAAAAUUAAAGUAAAUGGCCAAUCAUCUUGCUGAUGAAAUUUUCCUAUCUUGGGAGUUAAAACUGGUUAUUAAGGAAGUUGGAUACGAUGCCAUAGCUGACGUCAUGAUAAAGGGAAUAUGUCAAAAAGCAAUUUAGAUACGAUGCCGAAGCAAACGUCAUGGCAACAGGGAGGAUUUGAAAAGCAAGUCUGUCAGCUAAAAGAUGGCUUUGAAAUCCUUAGCUUCUGAACAAUUUACACUAUAAAAUUUUUCUUUAUAUUUGUUUACAAGUUUUAAACAUAUUUACACAAGAGCGUGUAGAGCAACCGAAAAUUUUGAUCGCUAUGGGAAAUCAUCCAUUUAAAGCGUUCUUCUUACACGUUGACCAAACUUCCCCGUGGAAAAUAUUGAUCCAAUAACGCUAUUGCCGUUGGUGGCUUGAUCGAUUUCUGUGUGGAAGACUCGGUGGUGACUAUUGUACAAGAUUUUAUAAUCGUAAUGAAUCGGCAGAGAAUAUUGAUGGAGGUCACGUGUAAACAGAGACUGAAAUUCGUUGGAGGGGGAUUGCGAUUCUUUUAUUUUCUCACGUGUAUGGUAUUUUUACAAAAAAGAAAUUAAGUGCAUAUCUGGGCUCCCUUCUUUUCUGUCGCCCCGUUUCCCCUUGAAUUGUAAUAAGCCCGUAGGGGGUCAUGCCCCUACUGUGAUCAGCAGUAAAGGUUGUGAGUGCGCUGUCCGGAAAGGGGACGUGGGGGUCCUCAAGUUCUGAGAUAUCAUUGGAGGGCGAAGAGGCUACCCACAAAUCCGAAUUAACGGUUAAUCGCUCACGUAAAAACUUGUCCGAAACCUUCCAUCCUUUUCCGGCUUCUCUUAGCCACGCCCCGGGUAAUCUCCCCGGGGGCUCAAUUCAGUUAAAUUUGUUGUACAUGUAUGUUGUACCAACAAUAAAAAAAAUGGAAAAAAAAAAUAAACAAUAUUUUAUUUUUGCCAAAA